rnacentral:rRNA from 1 species
UCGAACGAGAGAGUGGAGCAAUCCAUGAGUAAAGUGGCGACCGGGUGAGUAACACGUGACUAACCUACCUUCGAGUGUGGAAUAACAUCGGGAAACCGAUGCUAAUACCGCAUAACAUCGCAAGAUCAAAGCAGAAAUGCGCUUGAGGAGGGGGUCGCGGCUGAUUAGCUAGUUGGCGGGGUAACGGCCCACCAAGGCGAAGAUCGGUAGCCGGCCUGAGAGGGCGCACGGCCACACUGGAACUGAAACACGGUCCAGACUCCUACGGGAGGCAGCAGUGGGGAAUUUUGCGCAAUGGGGGAAACCCUGACGCAGCAACGCCGCGUGGAGGAUGAAGCCCCUUGGGGCGUAAACUCCUUUCGACCAAGACGAUAAUGACGGUACUGGUGGAAGAAGCACCGGCUAACUCUGUGCCAGCAGCCGCGGUAAUACAGAGGGUGCAAGCGUUGUUCGGAAUUAUUGGGCGUAAAGGGCGCGUAGGCGGCGCGACAAGUCACCUGUGAAAUCCCCAGGCUUAACCUGGGGCCUGCAGGCGAAACUGUCGUGCUGGAGUAUGGGAGAGGUGCGUGGAAUUCCCGGUGUAGCGGUGAAAUGCGUAGAUAUCAGGAGGAACACCGGCGGUGUAAACGGCUUUCUGGACCAUAACUGACGCUGAGGCACGAAAGC